ACCCAAACUUUACUCGAAUUCAAUCGAACCCUAAAGCAACCUUGGAAGCAUCAAUACGACCGAAUAAGCGGACCCCAUAACAGAAUUAAAUCGGGUUUAAUCCCCAAAUCGAUGUAUAAAAUGGGCAUCCAUCUUGGUUCAGGGUGUUGAACAAGAUACCAGAAUUCAUCGAGAUCCGGCGGUGCUCGUCGGAUUUCGUCCUAUAACCAUCAUGAUGAAGGUUUCGUGUUCUACCAUCGUCGCAUCUCUUCUCGCUGCAUCCACAGCUGCUCUCUCCUCCUCCCAUUCAAACCCUAAUCUCCAGGAAUUGAGAGGGCGAAUAGGCGAAGAAAGCAGUUUAGAGAAGGAGAAAUUCGCACCGAGGUUCGAUGGGUUAAGGUUCAUCGAGACAUUGGUGACAGCCCACAAGUGACAGAAGUUGCAGGUUUUCCAUUUCCAACCAUUUUUCAUGCCAAAGUUGCAAUCUUUUUCUUUUCCUUUUUCAUUUAGGAAGAGGAACAAUUGGUUGUAGGAUUGUGACGUUUUGAUUUGGUGUGAUGGGGUUGGAUCAUAUCGUUUCUUUCUGAGUUUAAGAUCCCAAUUUGUUGGGCGCCAAAUGUAUUACCUUUUGAGCAUUAUCAUCUUUUUCUUCAACUCUUGAUGCAUUCAGAAAUUGCAUAGCUUUCUGGUGUAGUUUCAGAUC